AUAAUAUUAAAAGCCAAAAUUACAUAAAUUAAUAAUAGAAUUCAUACAUUAAAAUCAAACAUCAUCCUAUUGAAACAUUGUUCAUCAUCCUAUAUUACAUUGAAACAUUGCUCAUCAUCCUAUAUUACAUUGAAACAUAACUGACAAGCAAACUUAAUUGAGGCAGUAACUAGAUCAGUUUCUAUUGGAUGCCCAGUCGCGACUGUGAGUUGGCUAAAGUAAGCACAACAUGCUCACGUUGAUUCCUUAUAUUGUCUUUCUGCAAAAGGUAAGUCAAACAAGCCAAGGACGAAUGUUAAAACAAAAAUAGAAGCCAUAAAAGCAAUAAAUAUAAGUCAAUGAGCAAGCACUGGACAUUGGUUUAAAAGAUGAACAUGCUUCACUCAUUUAGCAAAUCUCUACAUGCUUAAAAGUUAAAACAACUACCAACAGAUGACGAUUUUCUAUAACAUUUUUGGCUAUCAAAACAAUUGCUAUUGGUUAUAACAGCCCAUUUUGAACAAAUAAACUUGAACUAGUUAGGCAAAAAGCUCAUAUUAACAAGUAAUGCAGGUCAAAAUAUGUAUAAGGAACGUCUACCUUAGAAGUUAAGAAAGCCGAAACAGCUCAAAAAGCUAUCACCUAACUGGUUCUCUAAAUUAAUACUACUAUUUCACUCUCAUUGACUACUUCCAAUAACAAAAUUGACGCAAAAAUUGACACGAAUUACAUGAAGAUUAAGCGAGAAUUCGAUAAUUCGAAAAAUAAAAAGGCAAAAUAACCUAAAGCCCGGCGCGGGAAGAGCGAGUGAUGGGUUUCUUCUUGUCCUUAUCCUUGUCUUUCGAAGCCGGAGUUUUCCCCGUCAACAACCCAUUUUCUCCUUUCCCUGACAUUCUCUACCUCACGCAGAUCUGAGAAUUACACAGAAAAUUCAAUUGAGAAUUAAUAUGAGGAUACAAGAAUACAAGAAUUUGGGAAUAACAAACAAGAAGAAUUAACCAAGUGGAAAGUUCUAGGAUAUAUACUAAUCUUGAACUCUAUAUUAAUAAAUAAUAAGGUAAGUGCAAAUAAACAGGUAAAGUAGCAGAGACAAAACUAGUAAGGCCCUUGUGUAUAGGCAGUAGAAUCUAAAGUUAAGCAGAUGAUUAGCCUAUUAAAUAUAAUUAUUAUAAACAAGAACAUGUUGAAAGAGAACAUAUUCAUUUAUCACGAGACUAAAGUACUGCAUAAGCCUAAAAGUGAAACAAUUUAAAACUAUUAUUUGCCUCCAUCCCCCCUAUAAAAACUACUUGAAUCUCCCACCUAUGGAGGAAAGAUUGGUCUCUCCUGGGGGUAUAAUCCCAGUCGAACUGAGCUCAGAAAGUGAAAGAAUGACAGAGGCUUCUUCCAGUUACCAAUAUCGGCAGAGAUAUUAAAUAAAUCUCUAAGCACAAAUUUAAUAGCUUUUACUUACAGUCGAAGAACUUAAAGCAAACAUGGUUAAUAAUCCACCUACUUAAGCAUAUUGUGCUCAUCAUUUGUCAUAGCACCACCAGAAGGUUUGCAAAUUUCGGCUAUUCUAUCAAAUACCAAGAGAGAAAUGCUAGAAUCAAACAAUCUCCACCUGACCAUCAUCGGUAGGAAUAAACACAAUGUACACAUUAAAAUCAUCAUCAACUUGAGACCAAAACAAUGAGAGGGGAUUGCAAACGAACCAAUUUGCAGCGUUUCUCUCGAGGGGAAUUGAACUUUCGGAUGGUGUUCACGACGACAAUUUGAAUCCAUGGGAGCGAGAUCUGCCCGACGCGCGGCGCCUCUCCCAUCCACCAACUCCAAACCUUCCUCACUCCGCCUCCAAACCACCAAAAAUUCCUCCACCACCGUCUACCAAAGAGGGAAAUGAGAAGAGAAUUUCAGUUUUUAAACAAAAAGGGGAACGAAAUGAAAGGAAUUAGAAACUAAAGAAAUAUAGGGUUUUUACCAAGGCAGACGGACGGCGGCGGCCGCGACUCUGCUGCUGUCGGUUGAAGAUUUGAAGGGGAGAACGAGCGGUGGCGGCGGCCGGAGGAGGGCUGCUGUCGUCCGCCGAAGUUUGUUGGAAAGAGAGAGAGAGAUUUUGUCAGAUCUGGGGGAGAGGAGAGUGAGGACGGCGGCGCUAGUGUCGUCGGUAGGAGUCAGGAGGGGGAGGCGGCGUGGCUGGCGGCGGCGGAUUCUGUGGGAGCCGUGAUUGGGGCUAGGGCUCAGACGGCGGAGGCUCUCACCGUCACCGAUCUAAGUCAGAGGG
rnacentral:lncRNA from 1 species